UGUAAUACCAUAGAUUAUUAAUUACCUAGAUGUCUCACUUUGGGAUUUUUCCAUACAUCAAGUUGGCGACACCCCUUUAGCGCUCCGAGCGCCACCACAGUCGAGUUACAGUGUCACGAUAUUCCACACGCGCUUUCACAAUUUGCUUUUCCGUCGUCGAUUAAUCGCGAAAAAACAGGAAUAUGGCAGGCCAAUGCCAACAGCGCAGGUGGCGGCAGCGGUAGCAGAAGUGGCGAAUCCAGGAGAUACCAAGCAGCAGACCAAAACAAAGGAACAAGAAGAGUUGAUCCACCUCAAGCCGAUCAUGGACAGUGCCCCCUCGGUGACCGUUGCAGUUUUGUACCGCCCGUACAGGUUGAAACGUAACGUGUUCAGACGUCACCGGGUAAUCGACGGUGAGCGCAUUUAGCAAAAUUCUGAUCUUCGAAAAGAUGAACGAAGAUAAGAAAAAAACUUCAAAGCUUCCGGCAGAACGCAAGCAUGAAUCUGACUAGCAUCAAGGCGAAUCCAGCUAUAAUUUCGCACAGUUUUGCCGUACGUGUU